UUCUGGUCCUCCGUCGCUUCACACUUGCAGAAGGCGAUUUCUCAACUGGCCGAACUGGUGUCCUGGUCGGUGAUGACACCAGAAAGACCGAUGAGAUCUGGAUGACCGGAGGUGGCCGUUACCCGCCGGACCUUCAGAGGAGAGACGGUCCAGACUGCAACGUGACACAACAUGGCGACAGUGAUAAAGACGCCUGAAAUAUUGCAUAUCUGCUAGUGAGAAGGCUCAAAACUAAUGAUUUGAGAUUUAUUUGUGAAGUAUGACUGCACACAGCUCUUUUGGAUGACAGAUCAUGCUUAUGCUCUGACUGCAGCAGUUUUCAGAUAAGAUACUAUGUUGUAUCAGCAUUGUUGUUUAAGAUGGAAAGUCAAAAUGAGCAUUGUAAUGUAAAUUGUCAAAUUAAACUAAGCAACAAUU